AUUGAACGCUGGCGGCAGGCCUAACACAUGCAAGUCGAGCGUGAAAGUCCUUCGGGAUGAGUAAAGCGGCGGACGGGUGAGUAACGCGUAGGAAUCUACCUGAUAGUGGGGGAUAACGUUCCGAAAGGGGCGCUAAUACCGCAUACGUUCUGAGGAAGAAAGCGGGGGCUCGCAAGACCUCGCGCUAUCAGAUGAGCCUGCGUCCGAUUAGCUAGUUGGUGGGGUAAAGGCCUACCAAGGCGACGAUCGGUAACUGGUCUGAGAGGAUGAUCAGUCACACUGGAACUGAGACACGGUCCAGACUCCUACGGGAGGCAGCAGUGGGGAAUAUUGGACAAUGGGCGCAAGCCUGAUCCAGCCAUGCCGCGUGUGUGAAGAAGGCCUUCGGGUUGUAAAGCACUUUAAGCGGGGAGGAAGGCCUGAUGGCUAAUAUCCAUCAGGAUUGACGUUACCCGCAGAAUAAGCACCGGCAAACUUCGUGCCAGCCGCCGCUGUAA
rnacentral:rRNA from 1 species